AAACGAAAAUAGCAAACCUAUCGAAAGGUAGGGACGCAAAGCUCUUAGUUUGGCGGAUGGCCGGGUUGCCGAA
rnacentral:ncRNA from 1 species